AGGCGCGUAGCUCAAUUUGGCAGAGCAGCGGUCUCCAAAACCGCAGGUUGUGGGUUCGAGUCCUGCCGCGCCUG
rnacentral:tRNA from 1 species